CAGCAUACCUCAGCAUUGCCAUGCUGCUGGGCGCCCGUGCUGCGGUCCAGGGGAGCUGGGGGUUGGUGCACGGUGAUGGGGAGGAACCGUGGGGCAACGAGGGGAGGCUUGUGUCAGAGGACGAUCUGAGGGAUCUCGCCAUGUGGUAUCUGGGGGAUGAGGACCCCUCCCCUCACCACGAGCUACAAGAAUUUUUGAAAAAGGAGCAAAAA